rnacentral:rRNA from 1 species
CAGCAGCCGCGGUAAUACGAAGGGUGCAAGCGUUAAUCGGAAUUACUGGGCGUAAAGCGUGCGUAGGCGGUGAGUUAAGUCUGCUGUGAAAUCCCCGGGCUCAACCUGGGAAUGGCAGUGGAUACUGGCUCGCUAGAGUGUAUCAGAGGAUGGUGGAAUUCCCGGUGUAGCGGUGAAAUGCGUAGAGAUCGGGAGGAACAUCAGUGGCGAAGGCGGCCAUCUGGGACAACACUGACGCUGAGGCACGAAAGCGUGGGGAGCAAACAGGAUUAGAUACCCCCGUAGUCCCUGUCUCUUAUAC